rnacentral:lncRNA from 1 species
CGCCUGUCGAAAUGUGGCUCAUCUUGUCAGCCAGCCCAGCCUUCUCAACAGCAGCAACAGAGUCACCGCCACCGAUGAUGGUUGUGACACCCUUUGUGGUUGUAAGCUCAGCCAACUUCUUCGCAAUGGCCUGAAGAAAACAAAUACACAAGACACCAAAACGUUCAAGCAAACAAAAAGGGAGAACCCAUAAAUCUAUUGAUGUAAUGCGAGACUAUAUUACCUCAGUGCCUGCAGCAAACUUCUCAAACUCAAACACUCCCAUCGGACCGUUCCAAAUAAUAGUCUGGGUUUUGUCCAACGCGUCGUUGAAGGUUUUGGUGGCAUCAGGGCCAACAUCAAGACCCAUCCAAUCAUCGGGGAUAGCAGUGGCAGGAACAAUCUGUAAAAGGCGUUCAAGUAAGCAUCAAAGAUAGAUGAAAAUCUCUUUACAAUGCUGCAAAUGAAACUUGCAUGCAAAUUAACAUGCUGCGUCUAUUCACAUUGAGCUGCUACGAGAAUGUUAGAAAAACUCCACUUUAUAAUUGUUAGUGCCAUGGAGGUGUUUAUGUGUAAAUGAACAAACCUUGCUCUCAGCGUCAGGUGCAAACUUGUCAGCUACUACAAUAUCAGUGGGAAGCAGAAGAGAAACACCCUUUGCCUUCGCCUUUUCAAUCAGUGAGGUUGCAAGCUCAAGUUUGUCUUCCUCCACAAGAGACUUUCCAACAGCAUAUCCCUGUGCCUUGUAGAAUGUGUAGAUCAUACCACCACCAAGGAUGAGGAUAUCAACCUUUGCCAGCAGAGACUCAAUGACCCCAAUCUUGGUCGAGACCUUGGAUCCACCAACAAUGGCAGCAAAUGGCUUCUUUGGGUUGGCAACAGCUCCAACAAGAUAAUCAAGUUCCUGGGAUAAUUAAAUUAUUAGUCAAACAAACUUUUGCUCUGAAAAACUUGUUCCAUUCUUAAAAGUACAUAAGGAUUGCUUUCGAAGAAGAAAUAAACAUAUUUAAAAUGCAAGGAUCCAAGUAAUUCAUUGCAUUUUCCUCAGAAGCUAUAUGUAAAUAUCUAUGUUACUAGACCAGGAUUUUGAAACUGCAGGGAGCAUACAUUGUACAUACAUUUUAACACUUCCUACUUUACAUAAGCAGGACCUUAUUAUGGAGAUAAACAAUUUUUUUCUCUUACACACGGGAGAUGGGGGGGGGGGGGGGGGUUCAACAAACAUAGGCAGAUCAUGAGCAGCAGGGCUGAGAUUUUAUUACCUUCUGCAUGAGGAAGCCAGCAACAGCAGGCUUCAAAAACUUAGUAACUCCUUCUGUUGAAGCAUGAGCUCUGUGUGCCGUGCCAAAAGCGUCAUUUACAUAAAGGUCAGCAGCAGAUGCAAGCUUCUUAGCAAACUCAGGGUCAUUCUUUUCUUCCUCCUUGUAGAAUCUAACAUUCUCAAGGAGCAGAACUCCACCUUCCGGCAAAGCAGCAGCCAAUUUCUCAACUUCCUCACCAAUGCAAUCAUUGGCCAUCACAACCUAUUUAUGCAGAAACACGAGCAGCAAUUAGUUAGUUCAGAGACAUCAGAAAACACAAUAAUGACCCAAUGUCAGAUCACAGCAUACGUCGAC